rnacentral:lncRNA from 1 species
GUUUUUAUAUUUCUUUACAAAUGGAGGAGUUUCUGCUGAUAGAGAGUUGCUUGACGUCUCCUCUCCUAAAAAUUCUGCCCGACCCUCUUCCAUUGUAACAUCUCUCUUCACCCUUUAUUUAAUAUUUCUUGUUUUCUCUUAUUUUAUUUUGAGAAUUUUAUAUUAUGGUUUCAGAAAUUUGUUAUUGCAUGUUGUAUUCUAUUUGUAGAUCAGAGUUUUUUCUUUUUGUGUUGUUGUGGAAUUUUGCAGCUUCAAUUCAUCAUUUAUCCAGAAAGAAUCCCAAUAAAAUUUUCAAUUCUAUCCAAUCAAGACCCUAACUCGAGAAUUGUCCAAAUUUCCUUGUGUUAUCAGGUCAGUUGCUGCUUCAUCAAUUCUUCUCAAGACCAUAACUCGAGAAUUAUCCAAAUUUCCUUGUGUUAUCAGGUCAGUUGCUACUUCAUCAAUUCUUCUCCAACACUUAGUUAUAUUUAGGAACAUAACUUGUACUCAACUCUAAUUGUAGGAAAAAUAAUCAAUCUGAUUAAAAUCCUUUAUGACUUUCAAUUAUUAUUUUAUGUUCUGAUAAUUUCUUCAAAUAUAAAUAGAUUGUAGAACAGUAGUGUGAUAAUAUCUUCUCAUUACUAAUGAACACCUUGAAAAAAAAUAAAACUUUUUAUUAUUUUAUGGAUUGCAUAAUCCAUAAAAUAAAGCAUGUUCGUAUAAGAUUUGAAUUUUACAAUUUUCGGUUAUAUUGAAAAUAAGAAAAAAUAAAGAUGGUCAUCUUUACAUUUUAUUUAGUUUUCCUCUUUACAUUUGGGAUUUAGGUUUUUUUUUAGAAGUUAAUUAGUUUAUAGAAUUUAACUUGACUUUGUUUAUUUUUAUUUUACUAAAAAUUGGAAAAAUAGAAAUAAAAGAGAAUUAAUUAAAAAACAAAAAAGGGAGAUUAAUUAAAAGAAAAAAGGAAUAAAAUAAAUAGUUUUGUUUGGUCUUCAUAAGAGACCCAGAAUUUGGGUCAUGGCUAUUAAAAUUUACCAGCCCAAGUCAAAACCCCCAAGACCCAAUCAAACAAAGCCCAAAACAAACCCCAUACCUGGUCCAGCCAAAGAAGACUACAAAAUGACGUCGUUUGACGUCCAUUUGAUCUCACCCGUCCAUCACCCCUCAUCCCACGGCCCAGAUUUGCUCUCACAUUUUUAAUAAAAUGGUCUGAAUAUAUUCACAACCUCAGUGACAAAUAUUUAUCUUCCUCGUACCAAACAUCCUCCGAUGUAACAACAUCGUCAAACCACCACCCCUCCACCGCCCGUCGCCGGCCGGAAAUCGCCGACGGUGGCGGCGUAACCCCAAAUCCACCCAAAAUUACACCCUAGAUUCCCCGUCUUCUCCUAUUCCCAACCCCCCUAAGAUCACCCCUCGAAAUCCCGUAGAACCCGUCGAAUAUCCCUUUAAAGGAGCGGCGGCUCCGCCGUCCACGGCGACGCUGACUCCAAUGGAGUCCAAAUAUACACCCUACACUCCCCUUGGCCUUCCCUACCCAAAAACAACCCCUGCUUCCUUCGAACAAGCCCGAAACUCAUCAAAUUUCGAAUCUGAGAACACAGGUGCAGCAGCCUUGAAGCACACAUAUUCAGCCAUUAAAAUCAUGAAAAUACAUCAAAAGGCAGCUGGUUCCACCAUGAAUACCAGUCCCUAAAGCUUCAAGCCAUAGCCCAAGAAUGAGCUGGAAAUAAACCUCCGAACCACCCCUCUUUUCAUCCCGAAAAUAACUCUGAAACAACCCUGUUUUCCCUCCAAAACCCCCAUCAAACAACCACCCAAAACUUGCAAAAACGCAGCAACUUUGACACUGUUGAGUUAGAGUUCUCGAAAGUUGCCGAUGUGAUUUUUCGUCGUGGUUCCGUUGCCGUCGAGCUCGGUACAAGGUGUUCCUGGUCUAAGACAUUAUCAAAUUCAAGAAAUUUGGCUAUGAAGUCGAUUCCUUGAGAUCUUUUUUCUAAACUCUUUUUUUAGUUUAUUGCUCUUUUAUAUAUAUAUAUAUAUAUAUAUAUAUAUAUAUUUCUAUGUUCUUGUUGUCGUCCUUCAUCCAUUAUUGUUUCUUCUUCAGUUCUUGAUUGACUAAUUACUUUCUAUGCGCAUUGCAGAUCUGUGGUGACGUUUUUAUAUUUCUUUACAAAUGGAGGAGUUUCUGCUGAUAGAGAGUUGCUUGACGUCUCCUCUCCUAAAAAUUCUGCCCGACCCUCUUCCAUUGUAACAUCUCUCUUCACCCUUUAUUUAAUAUUUCUUGUUUUAGAAUUUUUCUAUAGAUUGAUUUAACUAUUCGUGGGUUAGAAUCAUGUUUAAAUAACUUAUAUGUACUGCACGACAUGUUAUUUGUUUGGGUGCUAUUUAUUGUUCUUAAGAUAACAAUGCAGUAACUUGGCAAACAAGCUAAGAACGAGUAGUUAAAUAAAAUAUGAAAUUAAAAGGUGGACUAAUGGGUAAACACAAAAGAAGAGGGUUUCCCUAAGCUUUGCCAAUAAAAGGGCACCCUAGUGCCUUCAUUCACAAGUUUUGGAACAGAAAAAAAAAUCCUAGAAAAAUUUCCAAAGUUUUUUGGGCACAAUCUGAAACCUCUAUAAUUUCCAGAAAGUUUUUGAAGCCUAAAAAAUCUCAAAAAUUCCUAAAAAAACUUCCAGAAAUUCCAAGUUCAUAAAAUCCUGAAAUUCCAGAGGUUUUACUGUUCCAUUAGAGCCUCUUUCUUUAGAAUAAUUCUAUUUUUAGUUGUCAUCGACUUGAAAUAUGUAUGUUUGAAGUGAUAAACUCUUCAUAAAUUGUUCUGGUUUGAUUUUAAGAUGGUUUGACUUGGUUUGCUGAUUUUUAUUUGGUACUAAAUCUUCCUGGUUCAUUUGAUGUUGUGUCUGGGUUCAUAAUGGAUAUGAGCUGUUGAUUUCUGCCAUUGUAUUUCUGAUUAAAUUUGUUGGACUCUUGCUGACUCCUCUCCUCCUUUAUCCCUUUGUAACUCCAGGUAUUCCUCAGCUUUUGAAUGUAUGAAGAAUCAGACCUACAUCUAUA